GAGUUUGAUCAUGGCUCAGGACGAACGCUGGCGGCGUGCCUAAUACAUGCAAGUCGAGCGGAUCUUCAUUAGCUUGCUUUUGAAGAUCAGCGGCGGACGGGUGAGUAACACGUGGGCAACCUGCCUGUAAGACUGGGAUAACUUCGGGAAACCGGAGCUAAUACCGGAUAAUCCUUUUCCUCUCAUGAGGAAAAGCUGAAAGACGGUUUCGGCUGUCACUUACAGAUGGGCCCGCGGCGCAUUAGCUAGUUGGUGAGGUAACGGCUCACCAAGGCGACGAUGCGUAGCCGACCUGAGAGGGUGAUCGGCCACACUGGGACUGAGACACGGCCCAGACUCCUACGGGAGGCAGCAGUAGGGAAUCUUCCGCAAUGGACGAAAGUCUGACGGAGCAACGCCGCGUGAGCGAUGAAGGCC
rnacentral:rRNA from 1 species